rnacentral:sRNA from 1 species
UACAUACUUGAAGUGGAUGUUUUGGCCC